CAGGUAAUCCACAUUAUUCAGUACCCAACAUACCAGUGGAACCAAGGGGAAGGUAUCCAAACUCUAUGGAUAUCUACCAUCCAUCAAGGCCAGAAGACAGUUAUGGCGACUUUCAGCGUCAGAGGCGUGAUGAUUAUGGAAAAGCCUAUAACCGAUACUAAAUGGGUAGAUUGGAGUUUCUUUUUGGUGAGUUGUUUUAACCUUUUGGCAAGCUGAGAGCACUGAGUUUCAUUUUGUUUCACCUAAAGCAUUGGCUCUGCCAUUUUUAGGUGGAUGUGCCCUUCUCGUCAUAAAAUGUGUUCUUUUAAUGGUAUAUUUACGGAGGUUCUGAAAGUCAAUAUUUGGAAUGGAGAAAAUGUUGGAUAGGGUGGCAGAUGAUUGAUUUUUAUACAAGGUUUGUAGCUUUUCUUUACUUAGAUGCAUUUAAUUAAAUUAGCACUUCAAAAAUGAUUGAUUUUUAUACAAGGUUUUGUAGCUUUUCUUUACUUAGAUGCAUUUAAUGAAUUUAGCACUUCAAAACUUUCAGGAUGCGAAUUGGUGGUGUCCUCGUUCACUGUGAUGAAUCAGUCUGGUUAUGUUUGGAGAUUUAGAAAGAUCAAGAGGGACUCUGACUAUGGUACUGUUUAUGCUGUAAAGACAAUUAAAUCAGGGUGUUUUUAUU
rnacentral:lncRNA from 1 species